rnacentral:rRNA from 1 species
AACGAACGCUGGCGGCAUGCCUAACACAUGCAAGUCGAACGAGACCUUCGGGUCUAGUGGCGCACGGGUGCGUAACGCGUGGGAACCUGCCCUUAGGUUCGGAAUAACUCCCCGAAAGGGGUGCUAAUACCGGAUAAUGUCUUCGGACCAAAGAUUUAUCGCCUUUGGAUGGGCCCGCGUUGGAUUAGCUAGUUGGUAGGGUAAAAGCCUACCAAGGCGACGAUCCAUAGCUGGUCUGAGAGGAUGAUCAGCCACACUGGGACUGAGACACGGCCCAGACUCCUACGGGAGACAGCAGUGGGGAAUAUUGGACAAUGGGCGAAAGCCUGAUACAGCAAUGCCGCGUGAGUGAUGAAGGCCUUAGGGUUGUAAAGCUCUUUUACCCGGGAUGAGAGUGACAGUACCGGGAGAAUAAGCUCCGGCUAACUCCGUG